rnacentral:lncRNA from 1 species
GGAGGGCUUGUUGCCACCUGCUGGGUGCGAGGCUCUCUGCAGGGUCUGAUCUCUGCCUAGAGGAAGGGGGACCGGCUCCAGCCGGCUCUGUGAAGAACGGUCUCCCACCAACUCACCUCACGGCUCUGUGAGGAAGCCCGCCCUUCUGCCUCGUGCCUCCUCCGGGCCCAGGCCCCACGCCUUCAGCCCCCAUAAGGGCCCCCACCAACGACUCUGGCUCCAGCUCCGCUUCAGGCCCGACAUCCCAGCCAGCGGCACGCAGGGCCCAGACGUCUCCCAGCGCCUGAGCCUGACUCGGGGCUCAGCAAGCGCACGCCCUUGGCUGGGGCCUCCACCCCUCUCAGUGUUCUCACCUGUCAAGUGGGCCCCUCCUGGCCGUGGGAUUCCUCCCAGAAAACCCUGCGGCCGAAGGACUCAGGGGAAUGAAGAGCAGGCGUUCAGUCCAAGUGCACAUCCUGGAGCAGCUCCCCAGGCUCACUUCAGUCCAGCGGGGGUUCUCCCACAGCAGCUGUUCCUGCCCUCUCCACACCGAUCACACGGGAGGAACGUACUUGAAAUCAGACCCAAACUCCUCUCCGUGGCCUGCACACCCCUCCUUCCCUCUGCUCCAGCUGACUUUCUGCUCUUCUUACACGCCAGGCAUAUUCUUGCCUCAGGGCCUUUGCAUCUGCCAUUCCCUCCGCCUGGCCUACUCUGUCUCUAUGUCUCUAUGGCUGGGCCCUGCUCAUCCUUCAGCUCAGAGACCCCCCCCCACCCACGGAGGCCCUGCUCACUGUGCUCUCUCUGUACUCGCUCAGUCCCUCACUAACACGCCACUUAUCAAUAACUAAAAUUAUCUUAACGUUUUUGUCUACGGGGCUCUUGUUUGUGUCUUAAUCACCACGUAGAAGGGACUCAAAGCUUUGUAGGAAAUGAGGGAGGGAGGGUCCAUGGAGAUCGACCUGGCUUGCUGGAUUCCAACCUGCACAGUUCCAUUUAUUAACCACUUACUCUGUGCCAGGGCCCAGCCCAAACUCUAGCGAGCGGGUGACCCUGGGCAGCACCUCUCAGACCCCCAGCUCUCCACCUGCAGAGUGGAAGGCAGCCCCGAGGCUCUGAGGGGUCCUCCCCUUCAUCUCAGGCUACCUGAGACUUGGCACUCUGAAGAGCCCCGGGGAGGUGGGACCUCCUGAGGCCAGCUACUCUCCCGCACCCGCCUUAGCAGGGAGCACCUUUGCGCUGGAGGACACCUCCUCCGGGAGGCCUCUCGGCUGGGCCUCUCCUGGAGCCCUGGCCACACCAUGAUUGCUUACUUCUCCCUGCCUCAUUAGCUAUGUGCUCGCAGAGGCUGAACCAGCUCAGUGGGGGACACCCUGCAGUGCAGUCCGGAGCUCGCCCCCUGGGCCAAGGUCUGGGAUGGGUCUUCCAACUCCCCCGCGGACUUGCUCGCCACGGGAAGAAGUCACGCCCUUCUGUGCAUUUUGGGAGCCCUGGGAGCUGUGUACCGGCCCCAGGCGCACCGGACUCCGGCAGCCCUUGCAGGACGUUCGAGGCCUCUCCUGGUGUUUGCGCGGAGGCCCGACGUCGUGAUGGUGGAGCGUCUGCGCCUCUGCGAAGGCAGCGCCCGGGGUCCGUGUUUAUUUCAGCUGCGGCGUCCCUGGGGCGCCUCUGGAGGGGGCGCGGACGGCAGAGCACUGUGUGGGCAGCCAGCUUCCCUGUCUUCACUCUUCCCACCCAAGCCCCCGGGGAAAACAAUCCCCACCCGCCAGAAGCCUGGCGAAGCCGCCGAGCUGGAAAAGCCGGUUCUGGGAAGGGAAGGGGGGCGGGCGCUCCCGAGGCGCCAGGGCCGCUGCCGCGAGCUCUUCUCCCCAGCCCGGCGGCCCUUGGCCUCCCAGGGCGGUCCCUCGGAGGUUCCUUCUCCGGGAGGCCGGCUGCUGCCAAGGCCACCUGAGCAACGACCCCUGCAGGGUCCUGGCGCUCCUGGGGGCCGCUGGGAAGGGACAGUUCCUGCACCGG